rnacentral:rRNA from 1 species
UACGGGGGGGGCAAGCGUUGUUCGGAAUUACUGGGCGUAAAGGCUCGUAGGUGGCCAACUAAGUCAUACGUGAAAUCCCUCGGCUUAACUGGGGAACUGCGCCUGAUACUGGUUGGCUUGAGUUUGGGAGAGGGACGCGGAAUUCCAGGUGUAGCGGUGAAAUGCGUAGAUAUCUGGAGGAACACCGGUGGCGAAGGCGGCGUCCUGGACCAAUACUGACACUGAGGAGCGAAAGCCAGGGGAGCAAACGGG